rnacentral:rRNA from 1 species
UUCGCAAUGCCCGAAAGGGUGACGAAGCGACGCCGCGUGGGUGAGGAAGGCCUUCGGGUUGUAAAGCCCUGUCAGGAGUUAAGAAAUGUAGACUCGCUAAUAUCGGGUCUAUUUGACAAGGGCUCCAAAGGAAGCCACGGCUAACUCUGUGCCAGCAGCCGCGGUAAUACAGAGGUGGCAAGCGUUGUUCGGAAUUAUUGGGCGUAAAGAGCACGUAGGUGGAUUUGUAAGUCAGACGUGAAAGCCUUCUGUUCAACGGAAGAAUUGCAUCUGAAGCUACAAACCUUGAGUGUAGGAGGGGAGAAUGGAACUUCUGGUGGAGCGGUGAAAUGCGUAGAUAUCAGAAGGAACGCCGGCGGCGAAAGCGAUUCUCUGGCCUAUUACUGACACUCAGUGUGCGAAAGCUAGGGGAGCAAACGGGAUUAGAUACCCCGGUAGUCCUAGCCGUAAACGAUGGGCACUAAGUAGAGGGGUUUU